GUGCUUAGUUUGGUAAUAUGUACACUAAAAUUAGAAUGAUACAGAAAUUACCAUGGCCCCUAUGCAAGGGGAUGAUAUGCAAAUUUGUGAAGCAUUAGAAGGAAAA
rnacentral:snRNA from 1 species